UACAGAGGGUGCAAGCGUUGUUCGGAAUUAUUGGGCGUAAAGGGCGCGUAGGCGGUGCCACAAGUCACCUGUGAAAUCUCCGGGCUUAACUCGGACCUGCAGGCGAAACUGUGGUGCUGGAGUGUGGGAGAGGUGCGUGGAAUUCCCGGUGUAGCGGUGAAAUGCGUAGAUAUCGGGAAGGAACACCAGUGGCGAAGGCGGAGACCUGGGCCGAUACUGACGCUGAGGAGGCGAAAAGCGGUGGGGAGCGAACAGG
rnacentral:rRNA from 1 species